rnacentral:rRNA from 1 species
GAUCCUGGCUCAGGAUGAACGCUAGCUACAGGCUUAACACAUGCAAGUCGAGUGGCAUCAGUUUGGUUUGCUUACAAACCAAAGCUGGCGACCGGCGCACGGGUGAGUAACACGUAUCCAACCUGCCUCAUACUCGGGGAUAGCCUUUCGAAAGAAAGAUUAAUAUCCGAUAGCAUAUAUUUCCCGCAUGGGUUUUAUAUUAAAGAAAUUCGGUAUGAGAUGGGGAUGCGUUCCAUUAGUUUGUUGGGGGGG